UGCAUUUUUUUAGUUGAAAAGAGAUCAGAAGCAUCCUAAUGAGUUACAUCGAGAUAAUCUGAUUGCAUGUGUUUUAAACGUCCAUGCUGGGCCGUGUCUUGAUCAACACGCAUGCAGAUUCGAAAGCACAUCUCAUAUUUAAUUUCUACUGAGUAUAAACAUGAACUUGAGUUGUUUUACUCAAACAUAUAGUAAGGAUAAUCCUAUAAGAACUGUACAGGCAAAAAGACACAUUCUGGUUACCCUGCCACCGGCCCAUCAGAACUCACUGACAUGCAUGGCACAAGCUAGCAAAACAGAAUGAUUAGAUUAUUUAGAGAUGCAUCAACACCAAUCACGAAUUGGACCGGAGCAUGUUAUCCGC
rnacentral:rRNA from 1 species